CUAGAAACGGAGCCGUCAGACUCGCGGAUGUGGCUGAGGGUCUGUAGGGGGUGUCUGUCCAGGUGUGAACGAGCUUAGUCCAGUUAACCCAAAUUACACCGUUUUAAACCCCUAAAUCACUUGCUUGUUUCCUAAGAAGACCAGUCAGCUGUACUGCAGCUGGAAACAAAUCAAAUUGGAGAGAUAAGAUGCACUUGGAUUUCCAUCCAUCUUUCAUGAUCAGCCAGACUCGGUCCACUCAGGUCCAGAAGACUUCAUUACAGCAUCUGUAUUCUCUAAAGUACCAGCGAUUUACAUCUGUAGAAAUUCUGAGCAUGUGCGAAAACAGACGUCGGCACUGAAAACAAUCGAGCAAUUUUUGGAGCAGCACUGAAACCAACUACAAGC